rnacentral:rRNA from 1 species
UACGUGCCAGCAGUCGCGGCAAUACGUAAGAGACUAGUGUUAUUCAUCAUAAAUAGGUUUAAAGGGUACUUAGACGGGAAAAUUUGCCUUGAUUGGUACGAUUUUUCUAGAGUUUUAUGUGAAAAGGUAGUACUCAUGUGUGAAGAGAUAAAAUUUGUUGAUACCUAGGAGGACUGGUAAAGGCGAAGGCAACCUUUUAUGUAAAAACUGACGUUAAAGGACGAAGGCACAGGGCACGAACAGGAUUAGAUACCCUAAUAGUCUUUGCAGAGAAUUAUGAAUGCCAUAGGUUAGAUAGAGGUCAGGUACCUAAACCCACGAAAAUAUAGAGGCUUUUUUUGAAUAAAAAAAAGAAGAUACAUUUUUAUAGGUAACCGAGAUUUGUCUGUAAUUCUUGUAAACAUGGAAUUAUAAAGAUAGAUUUCUUUAGAGAUCUCGAAUAUUUAGUCUAUAAACGAAAGUGUAAGCAUUUCACCUCAAGAGUAAUGUGGCAACACAGGAACUGAAAUCACUAGACCGUUUCUGACACCAGCAGUGAAGUAUGUUAUUUAAUUCGAUGAUCCACGAAAAACCUUACCACAAUUUGAAUAUUAAUAAUAAUAAUAUCAUUAAUACAAGCGUUGCACGGCUGUCUUCAGUUAAUGUUGUGAAACUGUGGUUCGGUCCAUAAAAUUAACGAAAACCCUAGCUUUAUUUAUAAAAAUACAAAUUAAUUAUAAAGCAGUUCACCUUUAUAUUGUAUAUGAUAAAAGGGACCAAGGCAAGUCAUCAUGGCCUUAAUAUUGUGGGCUAUAGACGUGCCACAUUUUCCUAAACAAAGAGAUGCAAAAAUGUGAAUUAAGCUAACCUC